rnacentral:lncRNA from 1 species
UUGCAAAACCACACCAAGCUUUAAUCAGUCCGGUCCACAAUCUCAUACCCAUUCUCUGGUUUUUGUUCUCGAAACAGACGACAGGGGCCUCCCCAAGUCCACAGUGCAUUUCACCUGGGGUGAGGCUCACCUCUCCGGGCCGCAGUCACCAUGCAGACUGCUCUCUUUCCUGUGUACCUUGUUUUUUUUUCCGCUCUCUCUGUGCAUCCCACGAGGCGCUGCACUAACUGAUGGAAUGCACGCAGGUGCCAGAGAGGUAUUGGAAGCGCCAUGCAGAAAGGUAACGGCCUUUGUUUAUUCUGCCUCUCCAUAUUGCCAAAGCGGUGCCGAGAUCUCUAAUAGUUCUCCGCUUAACGAGGACCCUGAAAUAAUACUCAUGAAGGAUUUUCUUAAUUUAAAAAAAUUUUAAUUCUCAUGUCUCUUAAAUGAAAAAUGGUCAAAUUAAGGAGCCGUUUCCAGGAUUCUAAUUGAUGUAUUAGUUGUGCCUUGCCUGCACCCCAAAAGGAUUUAAGAUUACUGUAGUUAGGCUCCCUCGGAAGACAGGAUGCAAUGGAUAGAGUUCGGAGCUGAAGAGAGACUUGGAGAUGUUAAGCGGAAAAGCUUUACUAAAAAGAGCCAGAUUUGCAGUCUCCUAUCCUGGCUCCAACCGUAAGCAGGGACAAGGAAGUGAAAGGACCUCUCUUUGGAACAAAUGUCUGUGCUGGAUCUGGCCUCUGAGCAAGAAGAAGUGCACGGCAGCAUGUGCCUCCUGCCAACAAUGAAAGAAUCAAUGAUUGUGCGGUUUCUUCAACUAUAAAAAAAUGCUACUCAUCUGGAGUCACCAGGGCUGGAUGCACCAGGGCAAACAGAUCCAUAAGCAGAGACCGUGGGCGUCAACUGAAAGUUAUUAAAUCAUCCUGUCUCUCAGCAAAGGUGCUCAUGGGAAUCAGAUAAGGACAUUUUCAUGAGAGAAACAGAAGUGGGGCUUAUUCGGAGCAGAUUUAUGACUGUCUGUGGUGGCACAUACCUGUAAUUGGCACCUGAGAGGCUGAAGGGGAAUCCAAGUCCAUGGCCAGCCUGGGAUACAUGGUGAAUUCAAGAAGAAGAGCAGCCGGACUGUAUAGUAUGACCCUGCUUCAAAAUCCAGUUAGGGCUGUUCCAUCUCUCCUUUGUGUCUUGUUCUGGCUGGUCUCCCCACCACACCUACCUCUACUGUCAGCAUUUGCCCAUCCCCUUCAGAUUUGAUCUUUCAGAAUAAUUUUGUUCUGGCGUAUCUCUUGGAGACAGGCAAAGGAGAAAACAACCUUAAAAAAAAGAAGAGAGAGAGAAAGAAAGGAAGGAAGGAAGAAAGGAAGGAAGGAAAGAAGGAAGAAAGAAAGGAAGAAAGAAAGAAAGAAAGAAAGAGAGAGAGAAAGAAAGAAAAGAAGGAAAGAAAGAGAAAGCUUUAUUUUAAACAUUCGACAUAAAAUUGUUUUCAAAAGUCCUUGACUGAUCCCUGAUUUGAUUUCCACCAAAGCACUUUUUUUGUUGGUGUGUGUGUGUGUGUGU